AGCGAACGCUGGCGGCAUGCUAAACACAUGCAAGUCGCGCGGUCAGCAAUGGCAGCGGCGGACGGGUGAGUAACGCGUAGGAAUGUAUCUUGAGGUGGGGGACAACCCUGGGAACUGGGCUAAUACCGCAUGCGUCCUGAGGGACAAAGCAGCAAUGCGCCUUGAGAGCAGCCUACGUCCGAUUAGGUAGUUGGUGGGGUAAUGGCCUACCAAGCCUGCGAUCGGUAGCUGGUCUGAGAGGACGACCAGCCACACUGGGACUGAGACACGGCCCAGACUCCUACGGGAGGCAGCAGUGGGGAAUAUUGGACAAUGGGCGCAAGCCUGAUCCAGCAAUGCCGCGUGGAUGAAGAAGGUCUUCGGAUUGUAAAGUCCUGUCGACGGGGACGAUGAUGACGGUACCCGUAGAAGAAGCCCCGGCUAACUUCGUGCCAGCAGCCGCGGUAAU
rnacentral:rRNA from 1 species